GAUGAACGCUGGCGGCGUGCCUAAUACAUGCAAGUCGAGCGAACGGACGAGAAGCUUGCUUUUCUGAUGUUAGCGGCGGACGGGUGAGUAACACGUGGAUAACCUACCUAUAAGACUGGGAUAACUUCGGGAAACCGGAGCUAAUACCGGAUAAUAUUUUGAACCGCAUGGUUCAAAAGUGAAAGACGGUGUUGCUGUCACUAAUAGAUGGAUCCGCGCUGGUUUAGCUAGUUGGUAAGGUAACGGCUUACCAAGGCAACGAUGCAUAGCCGACCUGAGAGGGUGAUCGGCCACACUGGAACUGAGACACGGUCCAGACUCCUACGGGAGGCAGCAGUAGGGAAUCUUCCGCAAUGGGCGAAAGCCUGACGGAGCAACGCCGCGUGAGUGAUGAAGGUCUUCGGAUCGUAAAACUCUGUUAUUAGGGAAGAACAGAUGUGUAAGUAACCGUGCACAUCUUGACGGUACCUAAUCAGAAAGCCACGGCUAACUACGUG
rnacentral:rRNA from 1 species